rnacentral:misc_RNA from 1 species
CUGCCAUCUCCCUCCGCGCUCCAUCCGCCACCAUCCGCGCUCGCCUCCCUUCACGCUUCUUGCAGCCGCAUGCUCCUUCCUUCCACGGCGCGGAUCCCCCGCGACUGCCAUCUCCCUCCGCCCUCCCGCUCUCCAUCCGCCACCAUCCGCGCUGCAUCCGUAAACCGCCUCCCUCCGUGCUUCCUGCAGCCGCGCGCUCCUUCGACGGCGCGGAUCCCGCGCCCUCGAAUCACGCCAGCAGAUCCCACAAUCAAGCAGCGGCGGCAGGAAUAGGGGCGGGCUACGCGGGCGCUACUGCGGCGAGGGUGAGGGCGAGCGCUCCGGUGCCGCGGCGCCGUUCAUCGUAAUCGGUCGUGCUCCUGGAGGGAACGGCUGCAGAGCGGAUGGGAUCGAGGAGCGGGCGGGCGGGGGCCGCCCGUGACGGCGCCCAGGCUCAGGCUCCGCGACGGCCGCCACCUCGCCGCGCAAAGGUCUCACCGGCUCCCGAGAGGACAGCGUCCGCGCCUCACAGGCAUGUUCUGUGUACCUAAUCUGUUUCGAAGGCCUAUUUCUAAGCGUUAAUGCAAGUACUAUGAUUAAAUCUACAAUAUGCCGCACAUGCUGAUGGAAUUAUCUAUCAAGAGAUGAUAUGUCACUAUGUUCAAAUUGUCAAAACCAUGGGUUCUUCCCUUCUAUACAUAUCUGGUCAUCAGUAUGUGCUUGCCCCUCUUUAGAGACGAGGGUACAGGUAAGACAUCUCCACUUUACCUCUUUUUACCCUGUAUAGAUGUAGUAUAUUCAAUCCACAAGCUUAGCAGCACUCACAACUGAACAGUGUAACUAAAUGAUAAGGUUAGUUCAGGGACAUCUCAUUGAUCACGAUGUUGUUCCCUAUUUUGUAAUGUUUAGAAUGCUUAAUGAUGGCUCAAUCGACCUCACGUAGAGUGCAUU